UGGGGAAACCCAGUGUGAUUCGUCACACUAUCAUUAACUGAAUCCAUAGGUUAAUGAGGCGAACCGGGGGAACUGAAACAUCUAAGUACCCCGAGGAAAAGAAAUCAACCGAGAUUCCCCCAGUAGCGGCGAGCGAACGGGGAGGAGCCCAGAGCCUGAAUCAGCAUGUGUGUUAGUGGAAGCGUCUGGAAAGGCGCGCGAUACAGGGUGACAGCCCCGUACACAAAAGCGCAUGUGCUGUGAGCUCGAUGAGUAGGGCGGGACACGUGGUAUCCUGUCUGAAUAUGGGGGGACCAUCCUCCAAGGCUAAAUACUCCUGACUGACCGAUAGUGAACCAGUACCGUGAGGGAAAGGCGAAAAGAACCCCGGCGAGGGGAGUGAAAAAGAACCUGAAACCGUGUACGUACAAGCAGUGGGAGCACAGGUUUACCUGUGUGACUGCGUACCUUUUGUAUAAUGGGUCAGCGACUUAUAUUCUGUAGCAAGGUUAACCGAAUAGGGGAGCCGGAGGGAAACCGAGUCUUAACCGGGCGUUAAGUUGCAGGGUAUAGACCCGAAACCCGGUGAUCUAGCCAUGGGCAGGUUGAAGGUUGGGUAACACUAACUGGAGGACCGAACCGACUAAUGUUGAAAAAUUAGCGGAUGACCUGUGGCUGGGGGUGAAAGGCCAAUCAAACCGGGAGAUAGCUGGUUCUCCCCGAAAGCUAUUUAGGUAGCGCCUCGUGAAUUCAUCUCCGGGGGUAGAGCACUGUUUCGGCUAGGGGGCCAUCCCGGCUUACCAACCCGAUGCAAACUGCGAAUACCGGAGAAUGUUAUCACGGGAGACACACGGCGGGUGCUAACGUCCGUCGUGAAGAGGGAAACAACCCAGACCGCCAGCUAAGGUCCCAAAGUCAUGGUUAAGUGGGAAACGAUGUGGGAAGGCCCAGACAGCCAGGAUGUUGGCUUAGAAGCAGCCAUCAUUUAAAGAAAGCGUAAUAGCUCACUGGUCGAGUCGGCCUGCGCGGAAGAUGUAACGGGGCUAAACCAU
rnacentral:rRNA from 1 species